rnacentral:lncRNA from 1 species
CGCUAAAAAACCCAUUAAAGUCUACAAAUCGAUAUACAAUUACAAUCGUCUCCAAAUAAUGAAAAUUUGACAGCAGUCCCAUAAUUUCCAAUCUUCAUCUUCUCCAAUAAUUAGAUCUCGUUCCGGUAAAACUCCAAAAAUUUCAUUCCUCACCUGAGGGGAAAAAUAAGGGUCAGCUUGGAAACCCAGUUAGUUACCAACAACCACAACUUGUUGGAUCAAAUAUGUAUAAAAGAUCUGAUUCAAACAUGAGUUUUUUCAUAACUUUAGAGAGAACAGAAAGAAUUUAUUUCCAAAAGACUUUUGUUGUAACAUACACAAAGAAAAACAAUUUUCAGUAAAAGAGAUUUAGCAAGACCAAAAGUUCUGGCAUCCAAUAAACUUGAUAAUUCAAUUUCGAUAGAAUAUUUCAAUAUUUCGAUCAUCACAAGCUCAAACCUUAGUAACUACGGUCACCUUAUCCCGUGACAAGGCCCAGAACCACACAUAGGCCGGUGGUAAGUCCCGGAAGACACUAGUUUCUGUGCCAAUACUUAACCCCCAUUGGCUAGGGUCCAUAUCAUAGAGACGAGCAAGCUUCAUUAAAAAAAAAUUGGGAUUGUUCAACGAAGAUUAAUCAAAUAUUUUCAGUGUUACAGGUGGUUUCUAAAAUCAAUCGUUUCAUAAUUGAUCCAUAUUUCCAUGGAACACGUCAUGAUAAUAAGAAAAUUUAUUUCAACUGUUUCAAAGACAAGAAUUCAAUCAUAAAUGUACCGUAAGUGGUAGAAAAUAAAUUAGAAAAUUUUUAAUCAUAACCGUCAGAUAUGCCAAUCUUACUGCCAGGAACAACAUAUUAAUCUUUCCUCUUAAUCGGACAUAAUCUCACCAUUUGAUUCGUAGCCAAACAUCUCCUUUUGGGUUGAACCAAUGCCUCUUUUUAACUGAUCACCUAUUCUCCUCCAUGCUUUCAAAAUGCCCUUGAGAACCAGUAGCAGAGGCAGCCCAUGUACCACAAUAGAUCAACCCACAAGCUACAGCACAGACAACCACUGGAACAGCCUCUAAGGAGACUUAACAUGGCCAUCAAAACAACCCAAAUCAGUGCCCCCCAAAGCAGCAAAAGCCUCCCAGCACAGCAGCCACUAUCUGCCUCCCCAAACCACCACACAUCAGAUUCGACACUGCACAAACGCUUGCUAACAUGGGCAAAGGUUACCUCGUAUCUGGAGUGCCUCGCUAGUUCCAACUUCUUUUAUCUCUGUUCCACAAUCGCAGCCCUCUCUCUCUCUCUCAUCGUCCGCUAGGGUUCUUUCUCUACUUCUCUUCGGUCUCUCUAUCUCUUCCUAUAAAUUUUAAUAUAGGUAUAAACGGUGCCCCCAAUAAAGACCAACUGAACUCUUAAAAUUCUCUACCACUCUCUCAAAGAUGGUUACCCAAUUCUUGGAAUUACAAAAACAACCCACUUAAAGGAACAAAAGCCCUAUAUUCUCCACAAUUACAAAAUGAGCCAUGUUUGUUCUUCUGCACACCCAUAUAAAAUUACAAUACCAGCCACAUUACAUCUUUCUUUUAUCCAUCAUCCCCUUACUUUAAUC